CCUACGGGUGGCAGCAGUGGGGGAUAUUGCACAAUGGGGGAAACCCUGAUGCAGCGACGCCGCGUGGGUGAAGAAGCGCCUCGGCGCGUAAAGCCCUGUCAGCAGGGAAGAAAAUGACGGUACCUGAAGAAGAAGCCCCGGCUAACGACGUGCCAGCAUCCGCGGUAAUACGUAGGGGGCAAGCGUUAUCCGGAUUUACUGGGUGUAAAGGGGGCGCAGACGGUGAUGCAAGCCAGGAGGGAAAGCCCGGGGCCCAACCCCCGUACUGCUCUUGGAAAUGCGUGGCUAGAGUGCAGGAGGGGCAGGCGGAAUGCCUGGUGUAGCGGUGAAAUGCAUAGAUAUCAGGAGGAACACCGGUGGCGAAGGCGGCAUGCUGGACUGCAACUGACGUUGAGGCCCGAAAGCGUGGGGAGCAAACAGGAUUAGAUACCCGAGUAGUC
rnacentral:rRNA from 1 species